GUGGUGUCCAUAAUAAAGAGUCCA
rnacentral:siRNA from 1 species